CCUACGGGGGGCUGCAGUGGGGAAUUUUGCGCAAUGGGCGAAAGCCUGACGCAGCGACGCCGCGUGGGUGAUGAAGGCCUUCGGGUUGUAAAGCCCUGUGGGGAGGGAAGAAUAAGGGGCGGCUAAUACCCGCACCGAUGACGGUACCUCCUUAGCAAGCACCGGCUAACUCUGUGCCAGCAGCCGCGGUAAGACAGAGGGUGCAAACGUUGUUCGGAAUUACUGGGCGUAAAGCGCGUGUAGGCGGUCUAGCAAGUCGGAUGUGAAAGCCCUUGGCUCAACUGAGGAAGUGCAUUCGAAACUGCGAGACUUGAGUCCCGGAGAGGAUGGUGGAAUUCUCGGUGUAGAGGUGAAAUUCGUAGAUAUCGAGAGGAACACCGGUGGCGAAGGCGGCCAUCUGGACGGUGACUGACGCUGAGACGCGAAAGCGUGGGGAGCAAACAGGAUUAGAUACCCCAGUAGUC
rnacentral:rRNA from 1 species